rnacentral:rRNA from 1 species
GGCCUGGCUGGCCGGUCCGCCUCACCGCGUGUACUGGUCUGGCCGGGCCUUUCCUUCUGGAGAACUGCAUGCCCUUUACUGGGUGUGCCAGGGAACCAGGACUUUUACUUUGAAAAAAUUAGAGUGUUCAAAGCAGGCCUUUGCUCGAAUACAUUAGCAUGGAAUAAUAGAAUAGGACGUGUGGUCCUAUUUUGUUGGUUUCUAGGACCGCCGUA